rnacentral:rRNA from 1 species
GUGGGGAAUAUUGGACAAUGGGCGAAAGCCUGAUCCAGCCAUGCCGCGUGUGUGAAGAAGGUCUUCGGAUUGUAAAGCACUUUAAGUUGGGAGGAAGGGCAGUAAGUUAAUACCUUGCUGUUUUGACGUUACCAACAGAAUAAGCACCGGCUAACUUCGUGCCAGCAGCCGCGGUAAUACGAAGGGUGCAAGCGUUAAUCGGAAUUACUGGGCGUAAAGUGCGCGUAGGUGGUUCAGCAAGUUGAAGGUGAAAUCCCCGGGCUCAACCUGGGAACUGCCUCCAAAACUACUGAGCUAGAGUACGGUAGAGGGUAGUGGAAUUUCCUGUGUAGCGGUGAAAUGCGUAGAUAUAGGAAGGAACACCAGUGGCGAAGGCGACUACCUGGACUGAUACUGACACUGAGGUGCGAAAGCGUGGGGAGCAAACAGGAUUAGAAACCCCUGUAGUCC